rnacentral:SRP_RNA from 1 species
GACCAGGUCCCGCGCAAUGCAAACGCACCAAACCCCGUCAGGACCGGAAGGUAGCAGCGGUAGGUGGCGUCUUCAUGUGCCGCGGGGUAGCCUGGUCUAC